rnacentral:rRNA from 1 species
UAGUCCACGCCGUAAACGAUGGAUACUAGGUGUCCGGGAAGUUAACCUCCUGGGUACUACAGCUAACGCGUUAAGUAUCCCGCCUGGGGAGUACGGUCGCAAGGCUAAAACUCAAAUGAAUUGACGGGGGCCCGCACAAGCGGUGGAGCAUGUGGUUUAAUUCGAUGCAACGCGAAGAACCUUACCAGGUCUUGACAUCCUGCGAAUUUUCUAGAGAUAGAUUAGUGCCUUCGGGAACGCAGUGACAGGUGCUGCAUGGCUGCCGUCAGCUCGUGUCGUGAGAUGUUGGGUUAAGUCCCGUAACGAGCGCAACCCUUAUCCUUAGUUACCAGCAUUAAGUUGGGGACUCUAGGGAGACUGCCGGUGUUAAACCGGAGGAAGGCGGGGAUGACGUCAAGUCCUCAUGGCCCUUACGGGUAGGGCUACACACGUACUACAAUGGCAGAUACAAACCGUUUGCAAAGCCGCGAGGUUGAGCUAAUCGGUAAAACACUGUCCCAGUCCGGAUUGGAGUCUGCAACUCGACUCC